CCUGGUUCAGUCCUGGUUUAGUCCUGGUUCAGUCCUGAUGAUGGCCCUCGGAGCACUGGUCCUGGUCUGUUCUUUGUACUUUUUAAGGCUCCUGGCAGAAGACAACAGCUCAGAGCUCAGGCUGGUGGGAGGAGCCAGUCGCUGUGCUGGGACUGUGGAGGUGAGACUCAGAGGAGAGUGGAGACGGG